UGAGGAAUAUUGGUCAAUGGACGCAAGUCUGAACCAGCCAAGUAGCGUGCAGGAUGACGGCCCUAUGGGUUGUAAACUGCUUUUAUAUGGGGAUAAAGUGGGGAACGUGUUCCCUUUUGCAGGUACCAUAUGAAUAAGGACCGGCUAAUUCCGUGCCAGCAGCCGCGGUAAUACGGAAGGUUCGGGCGUUAUCCGGAUUUAUUGGGUUUAAAGGGAGCGUAGGCCGUUUGGUAAGCGUGUUGUGAAAUGUAGGAGCUCAACUUCUAGAUUGCAGCGCGAACUGUCAGACUUGAGUGCGCACAACGUAGGCGGAAUUCAUGGUGUAGCGGUGAAAUGCUUAGAUAUCAUGAAGAACUCCGAUUGCGAAGGCAGCUGACGGGAGCGCAACUGACGCUUAAGCUCGAAGGUGCGGGUAUCAAACAGG
rnacentral:rRNA from 1 species